AAUCAACGCUGGCGGCGUGCCUAACACAUGCAAGUCGAGCGCGAAAAGGGAGCAAUCCCUUAGUAGAGCGGCGGACGGGUGAGUAACACGUGGGCAACCUGCCCUUGGGUGGGGAAUAACUCAGGGAAACUUGGGCUAAUUCCGCAUGAUAUCUCCGGAGCGCAAGCACUGGAGAUCAAAGCUGGGGACCCUUCGGGGCCUGGCGCCUGAGGAGGGGCCCGCGGCCGAUUAGCAGUUGGUGAGGUAACGGCUCACCAAGGCUACGAUCGGUAGCCGGCCUGAGAGGGCGGACGGCCACACUGGGACUGAGACACGGCCCAGACUCCUACGGGAGGCAGCAGU
rnacentral:rRNA from 1 species